AUUGACACUUCUUAUUGCCAGGAAAUUACAAUGGUGGUUCCCGACAAACACUCUCUUGAUCCUCUGAUCAGACAGUCACUUCAUGUGAGGAUCUACCACUACAAUAAGAGACAACUGGAGUCCAGCACUCACCAUCUCCAAAGUGCUACUGUCUCUCUGCUCUCAAACUGUAACCCUGCCUGUAUCCAGCCCAGAUGAUCGGUAUGCACUUGCAACAAUCCCAACAGUCCUAUGCAAUCAGGACAUUCAUAAGAACCUAUCAAGGAUGAGACCAAUCAAAUCUUCAUGGCCAGCUUAAACGCACAAUGCCAAAAUCCAACUGUGUCCUGUUACUCCACCAAGAAGGACACUCUGUGACAAUGUAGUCCCAGCCCCCAAUUGAGCCUGGUUUCCUUAUGUUGGUUGAGCUUUGGUUCCUUGCUACUUUUGACUUGGUUUUUUUUUUUUUUUGGGUCCAUAGAGUUGUCCUAGUUAAUCCUUUAGCCAUUUUGUAGUUGUACUGACAAAAAUCAUAUUAUAA